rnacentral:rRNA from 1 species
ACGUAAUAGAUACCCUGGUAGUCCACGCCCUAAACGAUGUCUACUAGUUGUUGGUGGAGUAAAAUCCAUGAGUAAACGCAGCUAAACGCGUGAAGUAGACCGCCUGGGGAGUACGGUCGCAAGAUUAAAACUCAAAGGAAUCGACGGGGGCCCGCACAAGCGGUGGAUUAUGUGGAUUAAAUUCGAUGCAACGCGAAAAACCUUACCUGGCCUUGACAUGCCACUAACGAAGCAGAGAUGCAUUAGGUGCCCGUAAGGGAAAGUGGACACAGGUGCUGCAUGGCUGUCGUCAGCUCGUGUCGUGAGAUGUUGGGUUAAGUCCCGCAACGAGCGCAACCCUUGCCAUUAAUUGCCAUCAUUUAGUUGGGCACUUUAAUGGGACUGCCGGUGACAAACCGGAGGAAGGUGGGGAUGACGUCAAGUCCUCAUGGCCCUUAUGGCCAGGGCUUCACACGUAAUACAAUGGUCGGUACAGAGAGUUGCCAACCCGCGAGGGGAGCUAAUCUCAGAAAGCCGAUCGUAGUCCGGAUUGUUCU